rnacentral:rRNA from 1 species
UACAGAGGGGGCAAGCGUUGUUCGGAAUUACUGGGCGUAAAGGGCGCGUAGGCGGCCUUCUAAGUCGAACGUGAAAUCCCUGGGCUCAACCCAGGAACUGCGUCCGAGACUGGGAGGCUAGAAUCCGGGAGAGGGAUGUGGAAUUCCAGGUGUAGCGGUGAAAUGCGUAGAUAUCUGGAGGAACAUCGGUGGCGAAGGCGGCAUCCUGGACCGGUAUUGACGCUGAGGCGCGAAAGCUAGGGGAGCAAACGGG